UUCAGCAGCUGUACCGCCUGCAGUUUGGACCAAAUCAUCCACCUUAAGCUAAGCAGCUUUGGGCCUGGCCAGUACUUGGAUAGGAGACCAACUAAGAAAGCUGGGUUGCUGCUGGAA
rnacentral:rRNA from 1 species